CAGCAGCCGCGGUAAUACGUAGGGCGCGAGCGUUAAUCGGAUUUACUGGGCGUAAAGCGUGCGCAGGCGGCCCGUUAAGACAGGUGUGAAAUCCCUGGGCUCAACCUAGGAACUGCGCUUGUGACUGGCGGGCUCGAGUACGGUAGAGGGGGGUGGAAUUCCUGGUGUAGCAGUGAAAUGCGUAGAGAUCAGGGGGAACACCGAUGGCGAAGGCAGCCCCCUGGGCCUGUACUGACGCUCAUGCACGAAAGCGUGGGGAGCAAACAGGAUUAGAUACCCCUGUAGUCCCUGUCUCUUAUAC
rnacentral:rRNA from 1 species